GAUGAACGCUGGCGGCGUGCCUAAUACAUGCAAGUCGAGCGAACGGACGAGAAGCUUGCUUCUCUGAUGUUAACGGCGGACGGGGGAGUAACACGUGGAUAACCUACCUAUAAGACUGGGGUAACUUCGGGAAACCGGAGCUAAUACCGGAUAAUAUUUUGAACCGCAUGGUUCAAAAGUGAAAGACGGUCUUGCUGUCACUUAUAGAUGGAUCCGCGCUGCAUUAGCUAGUUGGUAAGGUAACGGCUUACCAAGGCAACGAUGCAUAGCCGACCUGAGAGGGUGAUCGGCCACACUGGAACUGAGACACGGUCCAGACUCCUACGGGAGGCAGCAGUAGGGAAUCUUCCGCAAUGGGCGAAAGCCUGACGGAGCAACGCCGCGUGAGUGAUGAAGGUCUUCGGAUCGUAAAACUCUGUUAUUAGGGAAGAACAUAUGUGUAAGUAACUGUGCACAUCUUGACGGUACCUAAUCAGAAAGCCACGGCUAACUACGUG
rnacentral:rRNA from 1 species